CCUACGGGUGGCAGCAGUGAGGAAUAUUGGUCAAUGGGCGCGAGCCUGAACCAGCCAAGUAGCGUGAAGGAUGACGGCUCUAUGGGUUGUAAACUUCUUUUAUAAAGGAAUAAAGUGAGGAACGUGUUCCUUUUUGUAUGUACUUUAUGAAUAAGCAUCGGCUAACUCCGUGCCAGCAGCCGCGGUAAUACGGAGGAUCCGAGCGUUAUCCGGAUUUAUUGGGUUUAAAGGGUGCGUAGGUGGGUAAUUAAGUCAGCGGUGAAAGUUUGUGGCUCAACCAUAAAAUUGCCAUUGAUACUGGUAGACUUGAGUAUAUUUGAGGUAGGCGGAAUGCGUGGUGUAGCGGUGAAAUGCAUAGAUAUCACGAAGAACUCCGAUUGCGAAGGCAGCUUACUAAACUACCACUGACACUGAAGCACGAAAGUGUGGGUAUCAAACAGGAUUAGAUACCCUUGUAGUC
rnacentral:rRNA from 1 species